rnacentral:rRNA from 1 species
AUUGAACGCUGGCGGCAGGCCUAACACAUGCAAGUCGAACGAGUGGCGGACGGGUGAGUAAUGUCUGGGAAACGGCCGGAUGGAGGGGGAUACUUACUGGAAACGUUAGCUAAUCCCGCAUACCAUAGGAUGGGCCCAGAUGGGAUUAGCUAGUUGGUGGGGUAACGGCUCACCAAGGCGACGAUCCCUAGCUGGUCUGAGAGGAUGACCAGCCACACUGGAACUGAGACACGGUCCAGACUCCUACGGGAGGCAGCAGUGGGGAAUAUUGCACAAUGGGCGCAAGCCUGAUACAGCCAUGCCGCGUGUAUGAAGAAGGCCUUCGGGUUGUAAAGUACUUUCAGCGGGGAGGCGUUACCCGCAGAAGAAGCACCGGCUAACUCCGUGCCAGCAGCCGCGGUAAUUC